rnacentral:rRNA from 1 species
UACGGAGGGUGCAAGCGUUGUCCGGAUUUAUUGGGUUUAAAGGGUGCGUAGGCGGCUGAUUAAGUCAGUGGUGAAAGGCAGCAGCUUAACUGUUAGCACGGCCAUUGAUACUGGUUAGCUUGAGUACAGUCGAGGUAGGCGGAAUUGAAGGUGUAGCGGUGAAAUGCAUAGGUAUCUUCAAGAACACCUAUUGCGAAGGCAGCUUACUAGGCUGUAACUGACGCUGAUGCACGAAAGCGUGGGGAUCGAA